rnacentral:rRNA from 1 species
GACGAACGCUGGCGGUGUGCCUAAAACAUGCAAGUCGAGCGGCAGCGAGUUCCUCACUGUGGUUCGGAACAGUAUUUAGUAGUUAGGGAAGCCAAAAUCCCUAAAUGCUAACUGCUACCUACCAACUACUACAUUCCGAGCUAGAGUGAGGAAUGUCGGCGAGCGGCGGACGGCUGAGUAAUGCAUAGGAACGUACCCCAAAGUGAGGCAUAAUUCCGGGAAACCGGGACUAAUACCGCAUGUGCUCUUCGGAGUAAAGCAGCAAUGCGCUUUGGGAACGGCCUAUGUCCGAUUAGCUUGUUGGUAAGGUAAAGCUUACCAAGGCGACGAUCGGUAGCUGGUCUGAGAGGAUGAUCAGCCAGACUGGGACUGAGAC